rnacentral:rRNA from 1 species
CCUACGGGCGGCAGCAGUGGGGAAUAUUGCACAAUGGGGGAAACCCUGAUGCAGCAACGCCGCGUGAGUGAUGACGGCCUUCGGGUUGUAAAGCUCUGUCUUCAGGGACGAAAAUGACGGUAGCUGAUGAGGAAGCCACUGCUAACUACGUGCCAGCAGCCGCGGUAAUACGUAGGGGGCGAGCGUUGUCCGGAUUUACUGGGCGUAAAGGGAGCGUAGGCGGCCUGUUAAGUGAAAUGUGAAAUACUCGGGCUCAACUUGAGUGCUGCCUUUCAAACUGGAAGUCUAGAGUGCCGGAGAGGAGAAUGGAAUUCCUGGUGUAGCGGUGAAAUGCGUAGAGAUUAGGAAGAACAUCAGUGGCGAAGGCGAUUCUCUGGACUGUAACUGAUGCUGAGGCUCGAAAGCGUGGGGAGCAAACAGGAUUAGAUACCCGGGUAGUC